rnacentral:rRNA from 1 species
GGCAGCACGGGCUUCGGCCUGGUGGCGAGUGGCGAACGGGUGAGUAAUAUAUCGGAACGUACCCAAGAGUGGGGGAUAACGUAGCGAAAGUUACGCUAAUACCGCAUACGAUCUAUGGAUGAAAGCAGGGGACCGCAAGGCCUUGUGCUCCUGGAGCGGCCGAUAUCUGAUUAGCUAGUUGGUGAGGUAAAGGCCCACCAAGGCGACGAUCAGUAGCUGGUCUGAGAGGACGACCAGCCACACUGGAACUGAGACACGGUCCAGACUCCUACGGGAGGCAGCAGUGGGGAAUUUUGGACAAUGGGCGCAAGCCUGAUCCAGCAAUGCCGCGUGAGUGAAGAAGGCCUUCGGGUUGUAAAGCUCUUUUGUCAGGGAAGAAACGGCAGGCGCUAAUAUCGCUUGCUAAUGACGGUACCUGAAGAAUAAGCACCGGCUAACUACGUGCCAGCAGCCGCGGUAAUACGUAGGGUGCAAGCGUUAAUCGGAAUUACUGGGCGUAAAGCGUGCGCAGGCGGUUUUGUAAGUCUGUCGUGAAAGCCCCGGGCUCAACCUGGGAAUUGCGAUGGAGACUGCAAGGCUUGAAUCUGGCAGAGGGGGGUAGAAUUCCACGUGUAGCAGUGAAAUGCGUAGAGAUGUGGAGGAACACCGAUGGCGAAGGCAGCCCCCUGGGUCAAGAUUGACGCUCAUGCACGAAAGCGUGGGGAGCA